rnacentral:misc_RNA from 1 species
GAACGCACCUUGCGCUCCUUGGUAUUCCGAGGAGCAUGCCUGUUUGAGUGUCAUUAAUAUAUCAACCUCUUCAGUUUUUGCUUGUUGAGUGUUGGAUGUGGGGGUUCUUUUUUGCUGGUCUUCCCAGGUCAGCUCCCCUGAAAUGCAUUAGCGGAACAAUUGUAGACCGUUCAUUGGUGUGAUAACUAUCUAUGCUAUUGACGUGAAACAGUUCAGCUUUCUAACCAUCCAUUGACUUGGAUAAAUAUUCAUUAAUGUGACCUCAAAUCAGGUAGGACUACCCGCUGAACUUAAG